CCUACGGGUGGCAGCAGUGGGGAAUAUUGGACAAUGGGGGCAACCCUGAUCCAGCCAUGCCGCGUGAGUGAAGAAGGCCCUCGGGUUGUAAAGCACUUUCAGUGAGGAAGAACGCCUGGUGGUUAAUACCCAUCAGGAAAGACAUCACUCACAGAAGAAGCACCGGCUAACUCCGUGCCAGCAGCCGCGGUAAUACGGAGGGUGCGAGCGUUAAUCGGAAUUACUGGGCGUAAAGCGCGCGUAGGUGGCUUGAUAAGCCGGUUGUGAAAGCCCCGGGCUCAACCUGGGAACGGCAUCCGGAACUGUCAAGCUAGAGUGCAGGAGAGGAAGGUAGAAUUCCCGGUGUAGCGGUGAAAUGUGUAGAGAUCGGGAGGAAUACCAGUGGCGAAGGCGGCCUUCUGGACUGACACUGACACUGAGGUGCGAAAGCGUGGGUAGCAAACAGGAUUAGAUACCCCUGUAGUC
rnacentral:rRNA from 1 species